ACUCUAAUAGUUUACAAAAAAACAUUGGUCUUGUAAACCAAAGAACGAGGACCACCACCCUCUUAGAG
rnacentral:tRNA from 1 species